rnacentral:rRNA from 1 species
UACGUAUGGGGCGAGCGUUAUUCGGAUUUAUUGGGCGUAAAGCGUAUGUCGGGGGCUUGUUAAGUCGAGGGUGAAAUUUUCUCGCUCAACGUGAAAAUUGCUUUCGAAACUGGCAAGCUAGAGUUUUGGAGAGGAGAUUGGAAUUCCAAGUGUAGGGGUGAAAUCUGUAGAUAUUUGGAAGAACACCAGUGGCGAAGGCGAAUCUCUGGCCAAAAACUGACCCUUAGAUACGAAAGCCAGGGGAGCAAAUGGGAUUAGAUACCCCAGUAGUCCUGGCCAUAAACGUUGAUCACUAGGUGAUGGAAGUAUUCACUUUCAUUGCCACAGCUAACGCGUUAAGUGAUCCGCCUGGGGAGUACGCUGGCAACAGUGAA